UAACAGCUGCGUCACCGCAAAAUUGAGGAAAGGAAUAUGUUUGACAUUUUUUCGGAAGAAAACUACGAAAAACUAUUUAUAGUAUGUUUUAAACCAGUUGUUGCUGUUGAUAUAUAAUUUAUUCAGACACCGUGUCACCUGUCAGGAGUUGCAGCUAAAGUAAAAACCACAAAAGAAGCGGAAGUGGGAAGUGGAAGUGGAAAAGUAACAGGAUGCAUUCACUUGUUUAUUGUUCAAGGAUACAUCCAAAGAGGCAUCUUUUUGACUUGGAUUCAACGCAGGAUCCGAUGCAGUUUGACAGAACAACCUUUUGAAGUAUUUACUUUCCUUUCCACAUGAUUUGAAUGCAGGACAACUCAUCUCCAUCUUUAACCUGAACAGAGGCCCAAACAAAGAGAUUGAAAAUGCUGACAUUCCUUGUUGUGCUUGUGUUUUAUAUUUUUU
ensembl:lncRNA